rnacentral:rRNA from 1 species
GAUGAACGCUAGCGGCAGGCUUAAUACAUGCAAGUCGAGGGGCAGCAGGACUGUAGCAAUCCAGUUGCUGGCGACCGGCAAACGGGUGCGGAACACGUACGCAACCUACCCAAAACUGGGGGAUAGCCCGGGGAAACCCGGAUUAAUACCUCGUAACCUUUUUAAGUGGCAUCACUUGAUAAGUAUAGCUCCGGCGGUUUUGGAUGGGCGUGCGCCUGAUUAGGUAGUUGGUGCGGGUAACGGCCCACCAAGCCUGCGAUCAGUAACUGGUGUGACAGCACGACCAGUCACACGGGCACUGAGACACGGGCCCGACUCCUACGGGAGGCAGCAGUAAGGAAUAUUGGUCAAUGGACGCAAGUCUGAACCAGCCAUGCCGCGUGAAGGAUGAAGGUCCUCUGGAUUGUAAACUUCUUUUAUGGGGGACGAAACCCGGAUAUUCUUAUCCGAUUGACGGUACCUCAGGAAUAAGCACCGGCUAACUCCGUG